UUCCAGACUCCUACGGGAGGCAGCAGUGGGGAAUAUUGGACAAUGGACCAAGAGUCUGAUCCAGCAAUUCUGUGUGCACGAUGAAGUUUUUCGGAAUGUAAAGUGCUUUCAGUUGGGAAGAAAAAAAUGACGGUACCAACAGAAGAAGUGACGGCUAAAUACGUGCCAGCAGCCGCGGUAAUACGUAUGUCACAAGCGUUAUCCGGAUUUAUUGGGCGUAAAGCGCGUCUAGGUGGUUAUGUAAGUCUGAUGUGAAAAUGCAGGGCUCAACUCUGUAUUGCGUUGGAAACUGUAUAACUAGAGUACUGGAGAGGUAAGCGGAACUACAAGUGUAGAGGUGAAAUUCGUAGAUAUUUGUAGGAAUGCCGAUGGGGAAGCCAGCUUACUGGACAGAUACUGACGCUGAAGCGCGAAAGCGUGGGUAGCAAACAGGAUUAGAUACCCUGGUAGUCCACGCCGUAAACGAUGAUUACUAGGUGUUGGGGGUCGAACCUCAGCGCCCAAGCAAACGCGAUAAGUAAUCCGCCUGGGGAGUACGUACGCAAGUAUGAAACUUAAAGGAAUUGACGGGGGCCCGCACAAG
rnacentral:rRNA from 1 species